rnacentral:rRNA from 1 species
GAUGAACGCUGGCGGCGUGCCUAAUACAUGCAAGUCGAGCGAACGGACGAGAAGCUUGCUUUUCUGAUGUUAGCGGCGGACGGGUGAGUAACACGUGGAUAACCUACCUAUAAGACUGGGAUAACUUCGGGAAACCGGAGCUAAUACCGGAUAAUAUUUUGAACCGCAUGGUUCAAAAGUGAAAGACGGUCUUGCUGUCACUUAUAGAUGGAUCCGCGCUGCAUUAGCUAGUUGGUAAGGUAACGGCUUACCAAGGCAACGAUGCAUAGCCGACCUGAGAGGGUGAUCGGCCACACUGGAACUGAGACACGGUCCAGACUCCUACGGGAGGCAGCAGUAGGGAAUCUUCCGCAAAGGGCGAAAGCCUGACGGAGCAACGCCGCGUGAGUGAUGAAGGUCUUCGGAUCGUAAAACCCUGUUAUUAGGGAAGAACAUAUGUGUAAGUAACUGUGCACAUCUUGACGGUACCUAAUCAGAAAGCCACGGCUAACUACGUG